rnacentral:rRNA from 1 species
GUACGGGAGGCAGCAGUGGGGAAUCUUGCGCAAUGGGCGAAAGCCUGACGCAGCGACGCCGCGUGGGUGACGAAGGCCUUCGGGUUGUAAAGCCCUGUGGGGGGAGACGAACCGGGCCGUGGCUAACAUCCACGGUCCCUGACGGUAUCCCUUUAGCAAGCAUCGGCUAACUCUGUGCCAGCAGCCGCGGUAAGACAGAGGAUGCAAACGUUGCUCGGAAUUACUGGGCGUAAAGCGCGCGCAGGUGGUCGGAUAAGUCGGGUGUGAAAUCCCGGGGCUCAACCUCGGAAGUGCAUUCGAUACUGUCGGACUGGAGUACUGGAGAGGAGAGCGGAAUUCCCGGUGUAGAGGUGAAAUUCGUAGAUAUCGGGAGGAACACCAGUGGCGAAGGCGGCUCUCUGGACAGAUACUGACACUGAGGCGCGAAAGCGUGGGGAGCAAACAGGAUUAGAUACCCUGGU